CAGCAGCCACGGUAAUACGUAGGGUGCGAGCGUUAAUCGGAAUUACUGGGCGUAAAGCGUGCGCAGGCGGUUCGGAAAGGGAGAUGUGAAAUCCCAGGGCUUAACCUUGGAACUGCAUUUUUAACUACCGGACUAGAGUGUGUCAGAGGGAGGUGGAAUUCCGCGUGUAGCAGUGAAAUGCGUAGAGAUGCGGAGGAACACCGAUGGCGAAGGCAGCCUCCUGGGAUAACACUGACGCUCAUGCACGAAAGCGUGGGGAGCAAACAGGAUUAGAUACCCCCGUAGUCCCUGUCUCUUAUAC
rnacentral:rRNA from 1 species